rnacentral:lncRNA from 1 species
CCCCAGCUGAGAUCUAUGAGGCAUUUAAAGUGGGCCAUGCUUUAUUGGUAAGGCAGGUCAAUCAACAUGUAAUUAAUUUUAAUUAGCACUUCAUUAAACUCUUCACAUGCAGCCAGCUGUUAGCUCCACCAACAGCAGCAAAAACCAUGGCAGCUGCUGCAUGUUGACUUCAGUGAAGCAGAUCUUCUUCAGGAGACUGUGAGGAAGCUAGGAAAUGUGGGAUCUCUGCAGGAUUGCAGGAGAUAUUUCAUGGCUUGUUGCAAGCUUGCUGAGAUGCGUUCAUGGGAUAAAUGAAGUUGAAAAUCUACUGUUAAGAGUUGACAAGGAUGACACCGGCUUCAUGCAUCAGCCCAGCUGCUACUGGUGGAUCAGAAAUUUCUCCAUGCCUCUGCUGUUCCUUAACACAAAAAGUGGUCCGAGUGCCGUCUAGCAAGCUGAAUGCCACGUAAAGGCCACUGAAAGGGCAGUGGGCGUAGUGUGAGUACCAUUCCAUCUCUUUUCCAAGACCAUAGCUGUCAGAGGGAGGCAAAGGUGUAAUUCUUCUGCCAGGGAAAACUAGAAACCAGCCUCGAGAUAGCCAGGUGGUGGCUGAGGGCAGAGGAAGGGCAGCACUCAUUCCCUCCUUGGGUAUC